rnacentral:lncRNA from 1 species
CAGAUGAAAAAGGGAAGGAAGAGGGCCAAGCCCCGCCUGGAGCAGGACAGCUCCCUCAAGAGUUACCUGUCAGGCGAGGAGGUUGAAGAUGACCUGGACCUGCAAGAUAACUUCAGGUUACAAGGCUCUGGUACUUGACCAUGAUGACUCCAUGAGAAAACAGCAGAACGCCAGCUUUGCAGGGACAUCACAGCAGUGAUGCUGUGCUGUCAGUGUUGGGUUGUAUGUUCCUGGUGAUGUCCACAAUGAUGAGCUGAAGAAAGGGGUGUCUGUUGGGCUUCUCCCUGUGAACUUACUCUUAAGUAUUUACUUUUUGAAACAAAUGAAAACAGAGACACAAGACACCAAAACCUCUGGGAUACGAUAAAAGCAGUGCUAAAACGGAAGCUUAUACCAUUAAAUGCCUACUUCAAACAUACAAAAGAUCACAAAUUAACAACCUAA